rnacentral:rRNA from 1 species
UACGUAGGGACCAAGCGUUGUUCGGAUUUACUGGGCGUAAAGGGUGCGUAGGAGGGCAGGUAAGUCAGUGGUGAAAUCUCCAAGCUUAACUUGGAAACUGCCGUUGAUACUAUCUGUCUUGAAUACCGUGGAGGUGAGCGGAAUAUGUCAUGUAGCGGUGAAAUGCUUAGAUAUGACAUAGAACACCAAUUGCGAAGGCAGCUCGCUACACGAAUAUUGACUCUGAGGCACGAAAGCGUGGGGAUCAAACAGG